GAUGAACGCUGGCGGCGUGCCUAAUACAUGCAAGUCGAGCGAAAAGACGAGGAGCUUGCUCCGCUGACGUUAGCGGCGGGCGGGAGAGUAACGCGUGUAUAACCUACCUAUAAGACGGAGAUAACUUCGGGAAACCGGAGCUAAUACCAUAGAAUAUAUUGAACCACAUGGUGCAAUGGUGAGAUACGGCUUUGCGGUCACUAAUCGAUGGAUCCGCGCCGCAUUAGCUAGUUGGUAAGGUAAAGGCUUACCAAGGGAACGAGGCGUAGCCGACCUGAGAGGGGGAUCGGCCACACUGGAACUGAGACACGGUCCAGAGUCCUACGGUAGGCAGCAGAAGGGAAUCGGACGCAACGGGCGAAAGCCUGACGGAGCAACGCCGCGUGAGUGAUGAAGGUCUUCGGAUCGUAAAACUCUGUUAUUAGGUAAGAACAAAUGUGUAAUGAACCAUGCCCGUCUUGACGGUAACUAAUCAGAAAGCAACGGCUAACUACGUG
rnacentral:rRNA from 1 species